rnacentral:rRNA from 1 species
AGAGUUUGUAGUCCUGGCUCAGGAGUGAACGGCUGGCGGCGUGCCUAAUACAUGCAAGUCGGGCGAACCACUUCGUGGGAAGCGGCGAACGGGUGAGUAACACGUAGGUAAUCUGCCCAUCAGACGGGGACGAACGAUUGGAAACGAUCGCUAAUACCGGAUAGGACGAAAGUUUAAAGAUGCUCCUGGCAUCACUGAUGGAUGAGCCUGCGGCGCAUUAGCUAGUUGGUGGGGUAAAGGCCUACCGAGGCGACGAUGCGUAGCCGACCUGAGAGGGUGAACGGCCACACUGGGACUGAGACACGGCCCAGACUCCUACGGGAGGCAGCAGUAGGGAAUCUUCGGCAAUGGGCGAAAGCCUGACCGAGCAACGCCGCGUGAAUGAAGAAGGCCUUCGGGUUGUAAAAUUCUGUUCUAAGGGAAGAAAGGUGAUAGGAGGAAAUGACUAUCAAUUGACGGUACCUUAUGAGAAAGCCACGGCUAACUACGUG